GAUUAUGGCUCAGAACGAACGCUGGCGGCAUGGAUUAGGCAUGCAAGUUGAACGAACUCCUUCGGGAGUGAGUAGCGGAAGGGUGAGGAACGCGUGAGUAAUCUGCCCCCCAGUUGGGAAUAACAGUUGGAAACGACUGCUAAUACCGAAUGUGGCUUAAGCUUCGCCUGGAGCUUUGGCUAAAGAUUUAUCGCUGGGGGAUGAGCUCGCGUCCCAUUAGCUGGUUGGUGAGGUAACGGCUCACCAAGGCGACGAUGGGUAGCUGGUCUGAGAGGAUGGUCAGCCACACUGGGACUGAGACACUGCCCAGACUCCUACGGGAGGCUGCAGUCGAGAAUCUUGGGCAAUGCGCGAAAGCGUGACCCAGCAAUGCCGCGUGUAUGAUGAAGGCCCUCGGGUCGUAAAGUACUGUCUCCCGUGACGAAAUUUGACGGUAGCGGGGAAGGAAGCCACGGCUAACUACGUGCCAGCCGCCGC
rnacentral:rRNA from 1 species